CCUACGGGAGGCAGCAGUGAGGAAUAUUGGUCAAUGGACGCAAGUCUGAACCAGCCAUGCCGCGUGCCGGAAGACGGCUCUAUGAGUUGUAAACUGCUUUUGUACGAGGGUAAACGCAGAUACGCGUAUCUGUCUGAAAGUAUCGUACGAAUAAGGAUCGGCUAACUCCGUGCCAGCAGCCGCGGUAAUACGGAGGAUUCAAGCGUUAUCCGGAUUUAUUGGGUUUAAAGGGUGCGUAGGCGGUCGGAUAAGUUAGAGGUGAAAUCCCGAGGCUCAACUUCGGAAUUGCCUCUGAUACUGGUAGGCUAGAGAGUAGUUGCGGUAGGCGGAAUGUAUGGUGUAGCGGUGAAAUGCUUAGAGAUCAUACAGAACACCGAUUGCGAAGGCAGCUUACCAAGCUACUGCUGACGUUGAGGCACGAAAGCGUGGGGAGCAAACAGGAUUAGAUACCCCAGUAGUC
rnacentral:rRNA from 1 species